rnacentral:rRNA from 1 species
UAGUCCACGCCGUAAACGAUGAUUACUCGUUGUUGGCGAUACACUGUCAGCGACUGAGCGAAAGCAUUAAGUAAUCCACCUGGGGAGUACGAUCGCAAGGUUGAAACUCAAAGGAAUUGACGGGGGCCCGCACAAGCGGUGGAGCAUGUGGUUUAAUUCGAUGAUACGCGAGGAACCUUACCUGGGCUUAAAUGAAGAAUGACAUCUCGGGAAACCGGGACUCUCUUCGGAGCAAUCUUCAAGGUGCUGCAUGGUUGUCGUCAGCUCGUGCCGUGAGGUGUCGGGUUAAGUCCCAUAACGAGCGCAACCCCUAUCGUUAGUUGCUAGCAGGUAAUGCUGAGGACUCUAGCGAGACUGCCACCGUAAGGUGAGAGGAAGGUGGGGAUGACGUCAAAUCAUCAUGGCCCUUAUGUCCUGGGCUACACACGUGCUACAAUGGUCGGUACAGAGGGCAGCCACUACGCGAGUAGGAGCGAAUCCUUAAAACCGAUCUC